rnacentral:rRNA from 2 species
GGUUAAGCGACUAAGCGUACACGGUGGAUGCCCUGGCAGUCAGAGGCGAUGAAGGACGUGCUAAUCUGCGAAAAGCGUCGGUAAGGUGAUAUGAACCGUUAUAACCGGCGAUGUCCGAAUGGGGAAACCCAGUGUGAUUCGUCACACUAUCGUUAACUGAAUACAUAGGUUAACGAGGCGAACCGGGGGAACUGAAACAUCUAAGUACCCCGAGGAAAAGAAAUCAACCGAGAUUCCCCCAGUAGCGGCGAGCGAACGGGGAGCAGCCCAGAGUCUGAAUCAGCUUGUGUGUUAGUGGAACGGUCUGGAAAGUCCGACGGUACAGGGUGAUAGUCCCGUACACCAAAAUGCACAGGUUGUGAACUCGAAGAGUAGGGCGGGACACGUGGUAUCCUGUCUGAAUAUGGGGGGACCAUCCUCCAAGGCUAAAUACUCCUGACUGACCGAUAGUGAACCAGUACCGUGAGGGAAAGGCGAAAAGAACCCCGGCGAGGGGAGUGAAAAAGAACCUGAAACCGUGUACGUACAAGCAGUGGGAGCACCUUCGGGUGUGACUGCGUACCUUUUGUAUAAUGGGUCAGCGACUUAUAUUCUGUAGCAAGGUUAACCGUAUAGGGGAGCCGCAGGGAAACCGAGUCUUAACUGGGCGUUAAGUUGCAGGGUAUAGACCCGAAACCCGGUGAUCUAGCCAUGGGCAGGUUGAAGGUUGGGUAACACUAACUGGAGGACCGAACCGACUAAUGUUGAAAAAUUAGCGGAUGACUUGUGGCUGGGGGUGAAAGGCCAAUCAAACCGGGAGAUAGCUGGUUCUCCCCGAAAGCUAUUUAGGUAGCGCCUCGUGAA